rnacentral:rRNA from 1 species
UACGUAGGGUGCAAGCGUUAAUCGGAAUUACUGGGCGUAAAGCGUGCGCAGGCGGUUGUGCAAGACCGAUGUGAAAUCCCCGGGCUUAACCUGGGAAUGGCAUUGGUGACUGCACGGCUAGAGUGUGUCAGAGGGGGGUAGAAUUCCACGUGUAGCAGUGAAAUGCGUAGAGAUGUGGAGGAAUACCGAUGGCGAAGGCAGCCCCCUGGGAUAACACGUGACGCUCAUGCACGAAAGCGUGGGGAGCAAACAGG